GGGUUCGGCCGGGAUUUGAACCUGGACCUCUCGCACCCUAAGCGAGAUCAUACCCUAGACCACCGAACC
rnacentral:tRNA from 13 species